UGGGGAAUUUUGGACAAUGGGCGAAAGCCUGAUCCAGCAAUGCCGCGUGUGUGAAGAAGGCCUUCGGGUUGUAAAGCACUUUUGUCCGGAAAGAAAUCCUUGGCUCUAAUACAGUCGGGGGAUGACGGUACCGGAAGAAUAAGCACCGGCUAACUACGUGCCAGCAGCCGCGGUAAUACGUAGGGUGCAAGCGUUAAUCGGAAUUACUGGGCGUAAAGCGUGCGCAGGCGGUUUGCUAAGACCGAUGUGAAAUCCCCGGGCUCAACCUGGGAACUGCAUUGGUGACUGGCAGGCUAGAGUAUGGCAGAGGGGGGUAGAAUUCCACGUGUAGCAGUGAAAUGCGUAGAGAUGUGGAGGAAUACCGAUGGCGAAGGCAGCCCCCUGGGCCAAUACUGACGCUCAUGCACGAAAGCGUGGGGAGCAAACAGGAUUAGAUACCCUGGUAGUCCACGCCCUAAAACGAUGUCAACUAGUUGUUGGGGAUUCAUUUCCUUAGUAACGUAGCUAACGCGUGAAGUUGACCGCCUGGGGAGUACGGUCGCAAGAUUAAAACUUAAAUGAAUUGACGGGGUCAUAGCU
rnacentral:rRNA from 1 species